rnacentral:rRNA from 1 species
UACGUAGGGGGCAAGCGUUGUCCGGAUUUAUUGGGCGUAAAGAGCGUGUAGGCGGCCAUGUAGGUCCGUUGUGAAAACUCGAGGCUCAACCUCGAGACGCCGAUGGAAACCAUGUGGCUAGAGUCCGGAAGAGGAGAGUGGAAUUCCUGGUGUAGCGGUGAAAUGCGCAGAUAUCAGGAAGAACACCCGUGGGUAAGGCGGCUCUCUAGUACGGUACUGGCGCUGAGACGCGAAAGCGUGGGGAGCGAACAGG